UACGUAGGGUGCAAGCGUUUAAUCGGAAUACUGGGCGUAAAGCGUGCGCAGGCGGUUGUGCAAGACCGAUGUGAAAUCCCCAGGCUUAACCUGGGAAUGGCAUUGGUGACUGCACGGCUAGAGUGUGUCAGAGGGGGUAGAAGUUCCACGUGUAGCAGUGAAAUGCGUAGAGAUCCGGAGGAACACCGAAGGCGAAGGCAGUCUCCUGGCAAGUUACUGACGCUCAGGUGCGAAAGCUAGGGGAGCGAAC
rnacentral:rRNA from 1 species